rfam:Penicillium griseofulvum strain PG3 contig_86, whole genome shotgun sequence.
GCAGUGGUGGCACAGUGGUAGCGCGUGAGAUUGCAAAUCUCAAGGUCCCGCGUUCGAAUCGCGGUCAUUGCU